GGUUACCAGAGGAAAUAUUUCAUCCUUCUCUGAGCAUAAUGAUAGGAAGCACAUGAUUUCUAUUUGUCCCAUUACUGAUGAGGUUAACUUGUUUUGCUGAGUUCAGGUAGUGUGUAACUUCUGCUCUUUGAUAUUACUAUCUUUCCAUUUCUAAUUAAUAAGUAACUUGGGCAAGUACUAUCUUGAAGUUAUGACCAAGACCCAUGAUUUAUUUUAACAUUGUGACGAAGUAUCAACAUAAAUUUCUGGGAGGAUUAUGGCCAUUAUACAAUUAACUAAAGAGACAUUGAGACUCACGUUGAGUAGAGGUAAAGAGCUGUGCAGUGAAGGAUCUUCAGUGACAGGAGUGAAGGCAGAGCAUGUUCACAGAUGCAGAGCAGUUGGAAUAUUUCUUGAAGAAAGGGCACGGAUCUCUGUACCAUGUGGACACUGCUAGGGAAUGGGGCAAGAGUGGCCCUGGGAAUUCGAAACUGUCUCCUACCCUCUUCAGUGCCUGUUUCUGCAGAAUGAAGUUAAAACCAGGAAAUUAUGGUGGCUUUAAUUUGAAAAUGUAUCCAUCAGACUUGUGUUUCAACUCCAACAUGUGAAGAGCUUAGAAGUCAUCAUACCUGUCUUUACAACAAGAAGAAGCUGAACAUACAGAAAAUCAAGACAUUUUCAUGUGUCCACCAGAGAACUAAGGUCAGAGUAAAUCGUCAUGAUGAAAUCUGGAGAGACAGGUUUCCUAGUUAUUCACCUUGGAAGAGUGGAUGAAAAUUUCCUGGCUAACCAUUACCAAAAAUAUAAUCUUCCUGAGUGUCAGGAUGAAAUGCUCAUGUAUGAGAGCAACAUAAAAAUAUCUGGAGUUGAAUUUAAAGAGGAAGUUUCAGAUGCAAAGAAAAUGCAAUGAACUAUUUUUAAAAUUUAACUUUAGCAAAAUAAACAAAGGUGAUUUUUACAGCUUCUUCAUAAUUUUUCAUCCCAUGGUCCUUUCCUGAUAGUCCUGCUUUCAGUUAGAUUUUUUUUUUCACAAGCCAAUUAAAUUGUACGUGACAAUCUCUUUUCUAUCACAAUUGAUCAAGCUUCUGAAAGACGGAAAAAUGAUAAUGGAAUAAUUAGGAAUUAGGCUAUAUAAACUGAAUUAUUUUCUAACUUUAAGAUUUAUUAACAAUUCUUGGCAGUGCUCGUAUCUAAAUAGGUCUUGGAGUGUCUGUCUAAACAUGUUCCCUUUUCUGAGAAAUUUUCAUCUCCCGUGUUCACAUUAUCACUCCUGAGACAGUUGACUUUCACAACCCUUACUUGUGUGAGAAACAAGCCAUAUGCACUUUCCUCCAAUAACACCCUCCACACAAGCCACAAAUAAAGGAUCAAGGGUAGGUUGAUUACCUAAUACAACCAAACAGAGACCCUCUCACAAAAAUUAGAAGUUGCCACACGAAGAAACUUUAUUCACUCGUCGAUUGAUGGGCAUUUUGGUUGGUUCCAAGAUUUUGCAAUUGUGAAUUGUAGGAGCUAAGCUAUGAGGACACAAAGGCAUAAAAAUGAUACAAUGGAGUUUGGGGACUUGGGGGUAAGAGUGGGAGGGGGCGAGGGAUGAAAUACUACAAAUAUGGUGCAGUGUAUACUGCUCAGGUGAUGGGUGCACCAAAAUCUCACAAAUCAACACUAAAGAACUUACUCAUGUAACCAAAUACAAUCUGUACCCCAAUAACUUAUGGAAAAAUAAAAUAAAAUAAAAUAAAAUUUUAAUUAGUUAGAACUAAGGUUUAAGGUUAUUUAGAUACAGUUCAAGAGUAUCUAUGUUGAAGUCAAAUUUUGAGGCCCUCUUUAUUGGAAAGAGUAUAUACUAGAAAAUCUAGAUUUAAAAAUUAGAAAAAUAAAUAUUCUGAAGAAACAAAUGAGAGACUGAAAAAUGAAACAUAGUUUUUCUGGUAGUUUUCAGUUUCUUUUGUUGUUAGAGCCUUCCCUGGCACUUGAGUUUCAAGAAAUGUGCCAAUUUCUUCGUAAUAGAUUCCCCUUUACUAAAACUAGUUUAUACUUGUUUCUCUUUUCGUUAAGAAAUUAUUUAGAAAAAAAUUAAAUCGUUUAUAUUUAUUUUCAAAAAACUUUCUGGCCUUUUUAUUUUUCACAUAUUUUAAGCUUUGAGCAUUUUAAGUUUGUUCUGUUUGCUUACUGCUAAAUAAUUAGUUCCAUUUCCUACCCUUGAAAAUGUCACUAGGGAACAGAAUGUUUGAAAGAUAAGAAGACUAAAAUCUUCCCUUGCUUGAAGCUAUAAAAAAAAAUAACUCGAAGCUACAUAACCUUCAAAAAGUUUAAUCUGAUAAAGUGUUAAAUUAAGAACAUUCUCCAAUUCCCAGCCUUAUAUUUUGCUUAAUAUGAAGGCAUGUACAAAAAUAUGCAAUACUGUUUUGCUUUUUAUUAUGAAAUUGUCCUUGGAAAUAUUAUUUUAACACAAUAUUUAAAAAUUCAAAUCUCAGAGAGUAAUAUGUCCUGUAAACAGAAACAUUUAAAUGUUAUAUGCUGUAAUUAUAAUAAUGUGGCUUUCUUAAUAAUGUUACACUGCUAAUAAAUGUUUAAUCCACAUCUAUUAACUUCUAAAAAUUAUGGAUGCUUACAAAAUAUAUUUUUUGAAGUAGUGAAAUUAGAUAAUUUCUUCUCUUCCUGCACACUCGAAGAUAAAAUAAAACAUAUAACUCUCUUGG
rnacentral:lncRNA from 1 species